GCAUCGGGAGUAAGCUGGCACUAGAAGAGCGGAGUGUGCACACUGGGGUGGCAUUAGGAGGUCAGCGGGGCGAGGGUGGAAGUGCUCUGCAGGCAGGCCCCGUGCUUGAUUACGACUGGCGUACUCUCCCAACUGCUUUGUACGGUGUGCGGCGUGGAGUCGGCCCUCAAUAGAUGACCAACCGAUGGACUGAGGAGAGCCAGGGGUGAGGCGGGGUAGGAGCAAUGCCUGAAGGCUGAACAGACGGGCCGGGUUUCAGACGCCCUGAAGGCAGCGAGCCGUGCCGGUCCCGUCCCUCCCGGCAGAGUCGGUGGGGCGUCCAGACGGCGGCCUGACCAGCGG